AGUGAACGCUGGCGGUAGGCCUAACACAUGCAAGUCGAACGGCAGCACAGUAAGAGCUUGCUCUUACGGGUGGCGAGUGGCGGACGGGUGAGGAAUACAUCGGAAUCUACUUUUUCGUGGGGGAUAACGUAGGGAAACUUACGCUAAUACCGCAUACGACCUAAGGGUGAAAGCAGGGGAUCUUCGGACCUUGCGCGAUUGAAUGAGCCGAUGUCGGAUAAGCUAGUUGGCGGGGUAAAGGCCCACCAAGGCGGCGAUCCGUAGCUGGUCUGAGAGGAUGAUCAGCCACACUGGAACUGAGACACGGUCCAGACUCCUACGGGAGGCAGCAGUGGGGAAGAUUGGACAAUGGGCGCAAGCCUGAUCCAGCCAUACCGCGUGGGUGAAGAAGGCCUUCGGGUUGUAAAGCCCUUUUGUUGGGAAAGAAAAGCAGCAGGUUAAUACCCCGCUGUUCUGACGGUACCCAAAGAAUAAGCACCGGCUAACUUCGUG
rnacentral:rRNA from 1 species